rnacentral:rRNA from 1 species
GUCUACAGCCAUACCACCCUUAAUAUGCCCGAUCUCGUCUGAUCUCGGAAGCUAAGCAGGGUUGGGCCUGGUUAGUACUUGGAUAGAAAUAAUUUGUAACUCUUUUGUAGCCA